UAUGUAUUUGAUUAAGAGAUUGCAUAAAUAUACUUAUAUAAAGAUAUGCAAUGUGCUUUAAGAAUGCAAACUGUCAUUGAAUAAUGUUAUUAUGUUGUAAAUAAAAAUUGUUAUUUGAAAGCAGGAAAUAGAGGGGGGUAAUUUAUAGAUUUCACAUUAGUGAGAGUAACUUUGUAAUAUUGGUUUUCAAAUUAUAUAUUAUAUGCAUGAUUCUAAAAUUUAAUUUCUAAAAAUGUCAAUAGUUUUUAUUAUAUGAUUGUGAAAUGCUUUAUUAUACAUUUGAUUAAAUUGGGAAUAGAACAGACAGUGUAGUAUUCGCCUAGCAAUGGAUUAUUAUGAAUGUGUUUUUAUCUAUUAAUUUUGAAAUAGUUGGUUUCGGGGCAUGUUAAUGGUAAGACCAUGAGAAUAUAUAAGAUAGAAUCGAUUAAAUGUGCUCUAGUGCACACUUGAUUAAUACAUAAUAUAUGCUAUUUGGGUAUUAGCUCUGAAUGCUUGCAUGAUGAGGAUAUUGCUCUCGGAGUGGGAUAUGAGAAAAAUGCUUUCUAAAGAGGUAUACGAGGAUAAUGCUUCCUAUAGAUCGAGGGAUGGAAGGAUUUACUAUUGGAGAGCAAAGCAAAGGUUGUUUAUUUAUUUUUUCAAAUACCUAAGAAACAAGGAUUGCAUGU
rnacentral:misc_RNA from 1 species